rnacentral:rRNA from 1 species
CUACGGGUGGCUGCAGUGGGGAAUAUUGGACAAUGGAGGCAACUCUGAUCCAGCAAUUCCGCGUGAAUGAUGAAGGUCUUCGGAUUGUAAAAUUCUUUUAGUUGGGAAGAUAGUGACGGUACCAACAGAAAAAGCACCGGCUAAUUACGUGCCAGCAGCCGCGGUAAGACGUAAGGUGCAAGCGUUAUCCGGAAUUACUAGGCGUAAAGGGCAUCUAGGCGGUUAAUUAAGUCAGAGGUGAAAAGUCAGGGCUCAACCUUGGCCUUGCCUUUGAUACUGGUUAACUAGAGUACGGGAGAGGAGGGCGGAACUACAAGUGUAGCGGUGAAAUGCGUAGAUAUUUGUAGGAAUGCCAAUGACGAAGGUAGCUCUCUGGACCGAUACUGACGCUAAAGUGCGAAAGCUAGGGGAGCAAACAGGAUUAGAUACCCGCGUAGUC